rnacentral:rRNA from 1 species
GAUGAACGCUAGCGACAGGCCUAACACAUGCAAGUAGAGGACAGUGGCGGACGGGUGAGUAACGCGUGAGGAACCUGCCUUUCAGAGGGGGACAACAGUUGGAAACGACUGCUAAUACCGCAUGACACAUUGGGGUCGCAUGGCUCUGAUGUCAAAGAUUUAUCGCUGAAAGAUGGCCUCGCGUCUGAUUAGCUAGUUGGUGAGGUAACGGCCCACCAAGGCGGCGAUCAGUAGCCGGACUGAGAGGUUGACCGGCCACAUUGGGACUGAGAUACGGCCCAGACUCCUACGGGAGGCAGCAGUGGGGAAUAUUGGGCAAUGGGCGCAAGCCUGACCCAGCAACGCCGCGUGAAGGAAGAAGGCUUUCGGGUUGUAAACUUCUUUUGUCAGGGACGAGUAGAAGACGGUACCUGACGAAUAAGCCACGGCUAACUACGUG